ensembl:lncRNA
AAAGAAGGGUACUCUCUCAACAGAAUACAGAUGGAAUGCUUAUUUUAAAGAGCAUUUUCAAGUAAUUGAUCCUGUGGAGUACCGAUUUGAUAGACUACACCAAAAUAGCUUUGUGUAUGUCCCGGUGUUGAAAGUUCUUGAAGUGUUGCUGAACAGAGCAGAUGUCUUGGAAAAAGCUGUUUUUGUUGAGGAGGAUUUACCAGGACAGUACACAUCAACUCGUAGUGGGAAGUAUUACAAAGAAAACCAACUUUUAGGGGUACAAAGUGAUUGCAUUUCAAUGUCGAUGUACACUGAUGAAUUUGAGGUUUGCAAUCCCCUGGGGACUUCAAAAAAGAUUCACAAAAUCACAGCAGUUUAUUGGGUGCUUCUGAAUUUGCCUGCCAAAUUCCGUUCUACACUUUCCUCAAUACAACUUGCUAUGCUUGGAAAAAGCAGUGAUAUAAAACAGUUUGGCUAUGACAAAUUUUUUGAUCCACUGUUAAAAGACAUGAAAGACCUGGAGCAGAAAGGUGUGUUUGUUGAAGCACUGAAUGCACAUCUCAGAGGAACGGUGUAUUGUGUAUGUGCUGACAAUCUUGGGGCUCACAGUCUUGGUGGCUUUCAAGAAAGCUUUCAGGCUGAAAACCUGUGUAGAUUUUGCCAAGUCAGCAAAGAUGACAUACAGACACAAUAUGCUAGUUGUUUUCAGCUUCGAACCGUUGAACAGCACAACUCCAUUACAAAUGAACUGAGAGACCACCAUGAGCUUCAGAGCAGACUGGGUGUAAAAAAAGAAUGUGUUCUCAGUAAGCACCUUUCUUUCUUUCACCCAAUAACUGGGUUCCCUCCAGAUGUCCUCCAUGACACUUUGGAAGGAAUUGUUCCAUCUGAGUUAUCAGUGUGCUUAAAAGAACUCAUCACAAAGAAAUAUUUUACUCUUGAUACUCUGAACAAAUGUAUCAAGUCCUUUCCUUACAAGGACUCAGACAGAGUAAACAGACCCCAAGUAAUUUCCCGGUCCAGUUUCUCAAAGAAAACCAUAGGUGGGAAUGGGCAUGAGAAUUGGGCAUUACUACGCUUAUUACCAUUAUUGAUUGGUAAUCUUGUACCCAAUUCUGAGCCUGCUUGGGAAAUUUUGAUGGACUUGAGGGAGAUAGUGGAGUUGGUUAUGUCAGUCAAGUUCUCAGAAGCAAUGCUAUGCUUUUUAGAACGAAAAAUUGUAGAACACAGACAACUACUCCAAGACACAUUCCCAAACCUGAAAUUGCGCCCGAAACACCACUACGUGGAGCAUUAUCCACACCUGAUUCGCUGUUUUGGGCCAUUAGUUGAGCUUUGGACAUUCAGAUUCGAGGCAAAGCACAGCUAUUUCAAAGGUGUUGUGCGUGAUGUCCACAAUUUUAAAAACAUUCCACUCACCUUGGCAACUAAGCAUCAGCUUAUGAUGGCCCAUUAUCUCAAUGGUCCAAGUCUCUUUUCGUCACCUUUGUCUGUGCAGAAGGUAAAAACUGUAAGAACAUGUACAUUGGAAGAACUGCAGAAGACUGCAGUUCGUAAAAAAUACCCGCACAAAGAGGUUUUGUCACUUGCGUCUGAUGUGCAUUUGCAUGGAAUUCACUUCAGUGAAGGCAUGAUUUUGUCCUCAGGUCAAUGCAGUGGCUUGCCUGAUUUUUUCAGAAUACUUAGUGUACUUGCCAAUGCUAACAAGGUGGCCUUUCUUUGCAAAAGGCUUUCAUCAUGGU